rnacentral:snoRNA from 1 species
GAUGCUCGUUCGCAUAAGUUUCAGCCACCGACAUUGCAUGAGUGACGCCGUUUGGCGCUGAGG